rnacentral:snRNA from 1 species
AUCCUCUCGGGCCUAUUGGCUAAGAUCAAUUGUAGCAUCUGUUCUUUUUAGCGUGACAGGUAGAAGGCACUCCACUGGAGUUGGCCUGUCUGUCAUUGAAUCUUUGGACCAAGACGGAGUCGCUCGGGGCUUGCUCCGAGUUCUGUCGCGGAUGUCCCUCGUAUUGCACUGAAACGAGCUGACUAAUUCGCCUU